AAAUUGAAGAGUUUGAUCAUGGCUCAGAUUGAACGCUGGCGGCAGGCCUAACACAUGCAAGUCGAACGGUAACAGGAAGCAGCUUGCUGCUUCGCUGACGAGUGGCGGACGGGUGAGUAAUGUCUGGGAAACUGCCUGAUGGAGGGGGAUAACUACUGGAAACGGUAGCUAAUACCGCAUAACGUCGCAAGACCAAAGAGGGGGACCUUCGGGCCUCUUGCCAUCGGAUGUGCCCAGAUGGGAUUAGCUUGUUGGUGGGGUAACGGCUCACCAAGGCGACGAUCCCUAGCUGGUCUGAGAGGAUGACCAGCCACACUGGAAACUGAGACACGGUCCAGACUCCUACGGGAGGCAGCAGUGGGGAAUAUUGCACAAUGGGCGCAAGCCUGAUGCAGCCAUGCCGCGUGUAUGAAGAAGGCCUUCGGGUUGUAAAGUACUUUCAGCGGGGAGGAAGGGAGUAAAGUUAAUACCUUUGCUCAUUGACGUUACCCGCAGAAGAAGCACCGGCUAACUCCGUGCCAGCAGCCGCGGUAAUACGGAGGGUGCAAGCGUUAAUCGGAAUUACUGGGCGUAAAGCGCACGCAGGCGGUUUGUUAAGUCAGAUGUGAAAUCCCCGGGCUCAACCUGGGAACUGCAUCUGAUACUGGCAAGCUUGAGUCUCGUAGAGGGGGGUAGAAUUCCAGGUGUAGCGGUGAAAUGCGUAGAGAUCUGGAGGAAUACCGGUGGCGAAGGCGGCCCCCUGGACGAAGACUGACGCUCAGGUGCGAAAGCGUGGGGAGCAAACAGGAUUAGAUACCCUGGUAGUCCACGCCGUAAACGAUGUCGACUUGGAGGUUGUGCCCUUGAGGCGUGGCUUCCGGAGCUAACGCGUUAAGUCGACCGCCUGGGGAGUACGGCCGCAAGGUUAAAACUCAAAUGAAUUGACGGGGGCCCGCACAAGCGGUGGAGCAUGUGGUUUAAUUCGAUGCAACGCGAAGAACCUUACCUGGUCUUGACAUCCACGGAAGUUUUCAGAGAUGAGAAUGUGCCUUCGGGAACCGUGAGACAGGUGCUGCAUGGCUGUCGUCAGCUCGUGUUGUGAAAUGUUGGGUUAAGUCCCGCAACGAGCGCAACCCUUAUCCUUUGUUGCCAGCGGUCCGGCCGGGAACUCAAAGGAGACUGCCAGUGAUAAACUGGAGGAAGGUGGGGAUGACGUCAAGUCAUCAUGGCCCUUACGACCAGGGCUACACACGUGCUACAAUGGCGCAUACAAAGAGAAGCGACCUCGCGAGAGCAAGCGGACCUCAUAAAGUGCGUCGUAGUCCGGAUUGGAGUCUGCAACUCGACUCCAUGAAGUCGGAAUCGCUAGUAAUCGUGGAUCAGAAUGCCACGGUGAAUACGUUCCCGGGCCUUGUACACACCGCCCGUCACACCAUGGGAGUGGGUUGCAAAAGAAGUAGGUAGCUUAACCUUCGGGAGGGCGCUUACCACUUUGUGAUUCAUGACUGGGGUGAAGUCGUAACAAGGUAACCGUAGGGGAACCUGCGGUUGGAUCACCUCCUUACCUUAAAGAAGC
rnacentral:rRNA from 1 species